UUCUUCAAGAUAACAGCUGUGAUCGGCAAAUACAUACUUACACCAUGCCUAUUAUAGAACCCAGACAUCUCAGACUCCACUCUUCUUCUUAUCAAAUUGGACAUGUCCCGGAGGAGAUGACAGUAUGAACUAUGCAGAAGACCAGUCUUUGGCAGAGGAAGUUAUUAUCGGAGCAGCACUGUGCAGUGUUACUUGCCCUUCAUCAAAUGAGUCAAAGUGAAAAUGAAAAGACAAAAAACAAUACAAUAAUUUUUCCACUCAAAGGCCUCAAAAACUAACCAAGGUGAAGAACACAUCAAAAACCAAGAAUACGAUACUAUGGAGGCAAAGAGUUGAUUGGAUUAUACCAUUUGUUCCAUUGCUAAUGAGUUGCGAUUUAAACAUGUCAGGGAGUUAGUGUCAGGAUGCAAUGACCAUGUUCUUCUGAGGAGGAAUUCAUACAAACCUCCAAUACGUUGGUGCCACCACAGUGAUUCAAAAACCAAGAAUAUAUCAAUAUGUCAUCUGAAGGUUCAAGUGGUAUAUCUACAUUCGACCAGCCCGAAACACAAAUACAGCUACCUACUGAAGAAACAGUGUCUCCAAAACCUAAAGGCAGUUUCCAAUGUUUUUUGGUCAAAGUGUUCCCAUUUAUUGAAGUUACAAAAGGUGGCUUCUGGUGCACCUCUUGCAAAAAAGCUUAUGAAGAAGGAAUUCCCAAUGCUAUAAUUGGUAAAAGUGGAGGAGCUUGGCUUGUCAAACCGAUCAGCAAAGCCAAUGCUGACAAACUACGUGAAAAGGCUGCAAAACACCAGCCUCUGGAGUGUAUCAAUGUGCAGAAAGCCUUAUAAGCCCACUUUCAAAGCCAAUUUUAGAAGUACUUAAUGAGGCUGUUAAGAAUGCU